UUGAAGAAGUCUCUUCUAAAUUACAUUCACCACCCAUCAACCUUAAAGAUUUUGUGGGCAUUUUACUUACAUUCUCCAAAAACAUUAUUUCAAAGCUCUCGAAUGAAAUAUUGGAAUGAUUGAAAGCAUUGGGCGCUACUGCAGAUUGAAGUUUGGAGGCCAGUGGGACGCUGCCGUUUUAAGGUCUGAAGCUGCUGCAAAGGAAUUGGACCAGUACAAUUGGGCUGUGGAUUAGUAAAACGGUGCGUUUUGGCAGCUGGGUUUGGUUCUAAUUAAGUGAAACGCAGCGUUUGACACGGCUGCAGCCUUGGGGAGUCUGGGCACGAUAAUUCAUUUGGGGCAGAAGCUCUUUAUCGAGCAAUUGAGGAACAGAAAAAAAAAAGUACCCCUCGAGCUAGGGUUCAAAGGAGAAGAAGAACGGUUGAUGCCACUGACCUGGAGCUGACCAGAGGUUCUGAGGAGCUGACCGGAGUUCAAGUUGAUCGGAGGGCUUGAAGAAGAGAUCAAACAGGCGAGGAUUGGUGACCAUCCGAUUCAGAGAGCUAAACGAUCAAGCGGCGAAGGUUUCUCAUUUUCCAGAUUUUCUUUCUAUUUCAUUUUCUGACCCUAUAAAAGGGGCUUUUGUAAAUAGAAACUUGGAGACUUUUUCAGAUAGACUUUCACAGAGACAUUUUCCAAUUUUUACGUUUUUAGAGAGCGACGCGAGAGUUCUAGGGUUUUAUCGCACUUCCGGUAGAUUCAAUUUCUCGUGUUUUUGCUCAUUUCUUUUCGGUACAUUCUUGUAUUCUAGUUCUUGUUAAUAAAAUUUCUGUGAUGUUUCUCUGUGUUGAGCAAUUGAUAUUUUCUGUGUUGAAUUUUUCUGUGUUCUGUGUUCUUGAUCAAUGAUGUGUGAAUCUGU
rnacentral:lncRNA from 1 species